GAAAGAUCAUGAAUCUAAGACAUGAUAACAAGACACCUUAAAUUAUAGUUGUUGGUAUAGUACAUCUAUAUUAUAGAUACAAACAUCUUUUAAAAAUCUAAGUGUUAAUUUCAGGACAUCAUAUUCACGCCCAAAAGCACAAAAAAGUGAAAAAAAAGAUGAUACAUCCAUCUUUAUCCAAAAACAUCACAUCUAUUAAUAGAAUGAUGAUCUCGUGCAUGUAAAGAGAAAGAAACUGGUAGAGAUAGAGAGAGAGCGCGAAGUCUGUAGAAAGAGAACGAAAGGGACAUGUAGACAUAGAAAGAGAAUCUAACGAAAGAAAGAGAGCAAGGAGUGGGACAAGUAGAGAGGGGGUGAAGCGUGCGCGGGGGAAGGCCGUGGGGGUGACACAGGGACAGGACGAACAGGCGCGGAAGGUGGGGGAGGGGGGCUACGAGUGUGCAAGCCCUGCCCUCUGCCCCUCUUUCCCUGCCCAGUGUGCUUGGCCGGAUAAUGCGUGGAAGCGGCACGACAUCGGAGAGCAGGCCAGGGCAGAGUUGGUUGGACUGGCAAUGGCGAGGCCCGACUGCAGCAGCAGCAGAAGCAGCAGUGGUAGCAGCGUGAGAGAGAGAGCGAGAGAGUUAGAUUCGAAUGCGGAAGGAAGGAAAGAAGGAAGAUCAGAAACUUUCAACCUGGCUUUUGUUUUGCUUUGCUGCUUGCCUGUCUUCCUUCCCGUCCCUGAUACUCGGCCGUCUACGGCGCUUGGCCCAUAACAUCCCUGAAUGAGCCCCGCCACGUGUGACCGGAACUGAUCACCGGUGCCGCACUCGAACACCGCACUGGCUUGGCUUGGCUUGACUACAAUGUAGCGGGACCAAUCGCCAUCGCCGUUUCAGGGCUGUCUGAUCACAACUGCCCCCCACCUCCCCCUCUCUCUAGUGUAUGCCUGACGGCAAGGAAGGGCCCCGGCCUGCAGAUGUACACAUUUCUCUGGUUUCAUUGAAUAUGUGUGCACCAAUCGUGUCCCGCUCUGUGCAGAAAAGGAGCAACCGGAUAGCAAUAUAAUAAUGGGUGCUGACUAUCAUCUUGUUUCUUUGUCUAGAAAGAUGGUCGUAGGUUCAUGUCCGCUACGCAUAUGUUGCUGAGGUGAUGAGCAGGAAGUGGAAGAGGAAAAUAAGAUUCAGCACCUGGUCGCAGCUGGUCCGAAACCUUGUUAUGCAUGAUGGAUCAUUACUUAGGAUAUUCUCACAACCUACCAUACGGUGGGUCCAUCCACGGUUUUGGUCUGGAUGUUGAUCCUGAACACCACUUGGUUUACUCAAAAAAUGAAGUCAAUUGUGAUAUGCAGUGAAUAGCAGGCGCACCGAAAUCACGAUCUUUCGCAGAUGCCAGUUCCCACAGUGGUAUCCUGUGGCCACCAGCACAUGACAGAUAAAUUUUCGACCAAGGGAGGGCUGGAGGAUGAGCAGAUGCUAACCGUCAGAAUGGAGUCGAUGCCUAGCCAGGGAAUUCCUAUGGGCCCGGCUAAGUAAAGCAUACUAGUUCGCGGUCGAGGGAGGAUUGUCAGUGGUAAUGGCCCACUGUGAACCAGAUUUCUCUCGAAUUAAUUUUCCCACCACACGAGAGGCACUACGGACAAAGUCGAUCGGGGUCGUAUCCUCUGGGAAACUGCACUUUUGACAAAGUCUCUCCCGAGAAUUUUUGCACAAAGCAAAAAUUUCGCGGUAGACCCAUCGUUUGGCGCUCCUGGCCCAGGCCAAUCGAGGGACGGACUACCGAAAAUAGAGGGUUAGGAGGAGGAUUCGCUGCACUCUCUAGAAUAGCAGAAAUUGGUACAAUUUUUCAUUUGUAACAGAGGGAUUUUCCGGUGGUACGAGCGUCCGUCGGUUUUCACACGUUUGCCAGUGCUUGUCCCUCACUUACCUGACCUUCGUCAUUCGAGGGCCUGCAGAAAGUACAUAAGAAGAGUUCUUCAGAGGUUUUGCAGGCAGGUGUCUCACUUCGAAAGGUACAGACACAAGCGCUGGAUCUCGACGAACGUACGUGAUGUGGGCUCUGCAUCUGGAGCUCAAUGUCCCAGCCCCGAAGGACCCGACGGCUGGUAGGGUGCACUCCAAGUGCCGCCCCUUGGAAGCCUCAGUUUGGCACGAAGCUCUUCCUCCUUCCGCCAUCACUGAGUGGGUUAGUUUGUGGCAUGCUCAGACAUAGUACCCUACCAUUUGUCUUAUCCCUUAGUGAUAAGUAAUGCUCGACGUUCGUGUUGUUUGCUUACCAAGUUGCAGUGGUUCAUGCUUCAGUUUUGAAUUGCUGCAGUCAGUCCUCUUUAGUCGGCAGUUUUCGUAUUUCGCCGACUUCGGUGACUGCAGAAAGUCGAAACAGUAGAGAGCCUGUUGAAUUGCAGCGGUAGACUUGUCUGGCAUCAUUUGGUAGUCGUCAAACUUAUUCUCCCCGAGUUGUAGCGGAAUGAUACCAGAAAUUCGUGCCAAGCUGUGUGCAACCAAGGGGUUUGUUACUUAAGAUCCACAUGGGAGGAGCGUCCCUACCAGCACACCAUGGCUGCUCUACAUGCGCACUGUUCGGACUGAUCACUUCUGCUUCAUAGCUCUAGCAACGUAUUGGUAACAGGAAUCUUGUUUAUAUAUAUAUAUAUAUAUAUAUAUUUUCUUUGUUCAUUUUCUUUUUCUGUUUUCUGGAUCCCAGCUUGUUACGGUUUACUUGCAGCCUCGGCACGUCGAGUGACAUACUGAUGAAUACUUUGCUCACCCAAAAUUUAACUUUUGUCAAAGUGUAAACAGUCCGCGUCUUUCUAGGCUCACCAUUAACAUAAAUAAUUGUUGUGGUGCUGCAUCACUUGAAUAAGUAUAUACGGAAUCUGAACGGUUGCUCAAGUGAUUCUGCAGGGUAUGUGAGGAACAAUCCCAUAUUUACUGCAGGUGCAGCUGCUGGGCUUUUGGAUGCAUGUCGAAGCAUGAGUUGCGUGUCCAAGGACUGUUUUGGUACACAUUGGCUUAGCAUGGGAUCCCACUACGAGAAGUGCCGGGCAUCGAAUAUUGAUAAACGAAGGUGUGGCAUACUUGUGCUGAUGGUUGUUUUACAACUUGACGUGAGGCGCACAGCCAUCGAUCUUGUGUAGAUUACGAAUUGGGAAUAAGUACAAAAAGGCGACUUCUAUACUGCAGGGUUGUAUCCCUGCGAUGAUGGUCCGCUGUUAAUUCUAUCAUUACGUGCUAAAUAGGGUAUGUCUGUAAAAGUACUUCACAGAGCAAAUCAGUUCUGAUAAUGUGUAAUAUAUUGUUACUCAAAAGAUGACACUUGAUGAGUUCAAUUGAAGGGGCGUUAUUUGA